UGAGUAACCUGCCCUUAACUCUGGGAUAAGCCUGGGAAACUGGGUCUAAUACCGGAUAUGACUCCUCAUCGCAUGGUGGGGGGUGGAAAGCUUUAUUGCGGUUUUGGAUGGACUCGCGGCCUAUCAGCUUGUUGGUGAGGUAAUGGUUCACCAAGGCGACGACGGGUAGCCGGCCUGAGAGGGUGACCGGCCACACUGGGACUGAGACACGGCCCAGACUCCUACGGGAGGCAG
rnacentral:rRNA from 1 species